rnacentral:rRNA from 1 species
GAACGAGAACCAUCUUGUAGCAAUACAUGGUGGGGAAAGUGGCGGAAGGGUGAGUAAUGUGUGGGCAAUCUGCCCUCAAGUUGGGGAUAGCUCUGCGAAAGCGGAAUUAAUACCGAAUGUGGUCGCCCCGGGCAUCCGGGGUUAUCUGAAGCUGGGGAUCCGCAAGGACCUGCGCUUGAGGAUGAGCCCACAUCCUAUCAGCUAGUUGGUGAGGUAACGGCCCACCAAGGCUGUGACGGGUAGCUGGUCUGAGAGGAUGGUCAGCCACACUGGGACUGAGACACUGCCCAGACUCCUACGGGAGGCUGCAGUCGAGGAUCA